rnacentral:rRNA from 1 species
AUUGAACGCUGGCGGCAUGCCUUACACAUGCAAGUCGAACGGUAACGCGGGGCAACCUGGCGACGAGUGGCGAACGGGUGAGUAAUGCAUCGGAACGUGCCCAGUAGUGGGGGAUAGCCCGGCGAAAGCCGGAUUAAUACCGCAUACGACCUACGGGUGAAAGCGGGGGACCGUAAGGCCUCGCGCUGUUGGAGCGGCCGAUGUCAGAUUAGGUAGUUGGUGGGGUAAAGGCCUACCAAGCCUUCGAUCUGUAGCUGGUCUGAGAGGACGACCAGCCACACUGGGACUGAGACACGGCCCAGACUCCUACGGGAGGCAGCAGUGGGGAAUUUUGGACAAUGGGCGCAAGCCUGAUCCAGCCAUGCCGCGUGCGGGAAGAAGGCCUCGGUUGUAACGACUUUG